AGCACACCAUGGGAGCUGACCUCCCGCCUUCCUUUACUCCCCCAGCCCCACUCCCCCACCUGCCCACCCCCCAGCCCCUAUUUCUCCUGAUCUGAACUGCAGUCUCCUACCUCCCCAUUUUUCUGGGCAUCAGUUCUCACCGCGCCCACACCCCUCCCCCCACCCCACCCCCGCAGGCCAGAUUCCUGCUCCAGAUCUUAAGAUCACAACUAAGCAAGUAGGUGAAUUUAAGAGUGUAAUUAAAAGCUCAUCAGCCAUAACCCUUUGAACCCACACUGGGGGCUGGAGAGGUAUUAUCUGACACCCACAGGGGAAGCAGGCUCUCACCCUACCCCUCUGAUGCCCAGAGGCUGGGAAACCUGUUAUUUUGCUAAUCAGAGGAAGUUCAUUAAAGACUCUAAUUUUCCUCCUUAAUGGGGCUGCUAAUUGGGACCAAUAAACUUUCCUUAUGAGCCCCAUAGUCAACCAAGACUGCCUGGAACACUUAAAGAGUUAAAAAAAGAAAGUAACCACCCUGAUUUCCCUGAGGGGACAGGGCCCUCCAAAAGACUGGGGCACUUUCCCGUUAUCCAAGCACAGAAAGAAGGUCGAAGCUCGGGCCAGAGGUAGGGAGAGGGGGCAGUUUAAAGCCAUCGGGGGCUUCUGCAGGAACUACCUUGAGAGGGAAUUGGAAAGGAAAAGAGAGGCGGGAUGAGUGUGUGGACACCACCUGGCAGCUGACAGCUAGCUGACACAGUGCCCGCUGUGCUGUCCUCAUUGUCGCACCCCAUCCUCCCCACAGUCCUAUGAGGAGACCCAGGAAUCAGGCUGUCCAUUUUCCAGAUUAGGAAAUCAAUGCCCAGGGAGAUUUCUCCAAGGUCACAGGCUGGGAAGUGGCAGAGCUAAGACCAGAUAUGCAAGGCUCUGUGUCUGGCUUGUCGCAGCCUCUAAGAGAGGGAAGUGACCUUGAAAGUCAUGUGAAACUUAUAAACGUGGGCAGCUGGGGAAAGAAGCUCAGACAGAGCCUGCUGGCCAUGGGAACGGGAUGGAGAAAUUCCUGGGAUCAAGAGGUUUCCCUGGCUGUAAAAGGAGGGGUUGGAUCCUGACAAUCUGUAGCUGUGAACUCGAAACAGAGUACUCCCUGCUGAAGGCUUCCACUACCACUCCCAUCCUGGUACCCCUUCCUCUAAUCCAUCUUCUCUUUCGUUACUGCUGUAUCCCAUCCCUAACACGUAAUAGGUGCUCAAUAAAUUUUGAAUGAACGAAAAAUGAAUGAAUGAGAUGCCCCUUGCUCCUAGAAAACCUGUUUGGUCCAAUGCCUUUAAAGGGGAUGGCAGCAGAGGAGCAGGAGUUCAGAGUAAAACACAGGCAGCUGUCACUCCAGAGACAGUCAUAUGAUUCCAUGAUGAGGGAACAGGGCCACAGGAGUUAAGUGCUAGGAGGAGAACUCCCCAGAGAGACCCUGGGGAGGGCCUGUGCUUUGAGUGGCCAUGUGGGAUGACCACUGUGUGUAUGGGGCAGUGGUGCAAGGACUUGUGAGAAGGCAGCAGGGUGGUGACCAAAGUGAAGCAGGAGCUAGCUGAAGCCUGCCAAACAGCAGUAGGAGAGAGGGCUUAGAUGUUAGGAAGUAAAUGAACUUCUUCAUCUCCGCAGCUCCUUAGGCUAUGAGAAUCCCCCACCCCCAUCUGUAAGUGUCUUUGGGAAGGUGGAAGCAGGGACUUCUGCCAAGCUGGGGGCUGCCUGACUAUGUUGAAGAGGCCUGCUGUGUUUGCUGAGGACAGCCUGGGAGAAAAAGAGGACUGGAAGCAGGGGAGGUGGCUGAGACGACGCCCCUCUCUCCGUCUCCAGUGGAAGCCAGUUCUCGGGGGAACCCAGAUACCAGUGAGGGGCUCCGGAUUUAUGGCCACCCUCCAUUUCACAGGGGCUCCGCCUGCCGCUCUCAGAAAGCCCUAUCUCAGAUUUGUUGGCUGCUGGUCUCCGGGGCCUGCCUUUGUUGGGACUCAGACCCAGGCAUGGGUCCUGGAUGCCUGGAUUAUGGGGUGGGAGCCAGGGCUGGCAGGACAGACCUGGAGACGGAACAUCCUACAGACCAAAAAUGGCUUAGGUGAAAUAAGAAGUCACAGCAAAAAGCAUUUGGGCUGAGGGGACCAGCGCAGCCACGAGAGAUUUGUGGCAGCCCUGUGUCCCUAGCCCCAGCCUCACUGGGAAGUGUGUGCUGGCCCCUCUUCCCCAGUUAGCUCCCCUCAGAGGAGGAAACUGAGGCCCCGUGGUGGCAGGAGGGAGGAGGGCAAGAACGUUUCCCAGUAGCUCCAGGGGCACCCAACUCAAGAGCAAGAGAAAAACCCUGGUGGCCUCAAGUCCAGGUUAUCUAGGCCCCCAAUUUUUAUAGCCUUUUUCUCUUUUCCUCCUCAUCACAAUCAAUGAUUAUCCCCAUUUUACAGGAGAGGAAACUAAGGUGUGAGGAGUGAGGGAACGUGCUUAAGCCAUGCCAUUAUUUCAGUUUAACACAUUGGUAUAUGGAAGCCUAUUAUUUCUGGGCACUGUGGGGAACAUAACGGCAGGGAGACCUCAGAGCUGAACAAAAAUUGGGCUCUCUACCCUCGAGAACUCAAGAGGUUUGAUUGUGUGUGUUUGUGUGUGUGUGAUAAACACAAAGGAAUUACAAAUCACAUUCACAAAGAGAAUGUGAAAAGGGCUAUCUGUCCAGAGAUGUGAGGGAGUGAGGGGAGGAACAAACUGUCAGAAAUUGCUAAGGGGAGGCAACUCCUCUGGGCCUACAUAUGCGGUUUAGAGAGUGUGACCAGCAGAAGAGGCCCUGCUGGCCCUGCCUCUGCUCCUUAUCAGAGCUGUCUCCUUCCACCUUCCCUAGCAGGCAUAUCUCCAUCUUAUCCUUGGCUUCUGUCACCUUUGACACCUCAGUCAAGCCUCAGGGCCUUUGCUCCUCCUGGCCCCCCUUCCCCUGCUCUGUUUCUCCGAAGCACGAAGCACGCAUCACCUCUGGCACUGCCUUCCCCUCCCGCACACACAGGGGUUAAGAUCUGCUCCAUCAGGGCAGGGGCCUGGCUUCUUGUAAUCACUGCUGUCUCCACUGCACCUAGAACAGUAAUGGCAGGUAGUAGGUGCUCGGUGUGUGGAAUGAAGUCAUCCUUCUGCCUCUUCCAUCUGUUUCUGGAUUAAUCCCUAGGCUGGACAGAUGGGGUAGAGUUGGGCAGAGCCUCCACUGCACAAUCACAUUUGUUCCCAGACAUCCCCACUCUCCCCUUUGCUCUGAGGGACAGGUGAGAAGGAGGCCGACUUGGGAUCAGAGAGGCUUGUGGGCAGAUCCGGCCCUCAAGGCUCUCUUCUGCCCUCCCAGGGCUGCAAAAGCCUGACCUGGCCGUGGGGCAGUAAGUCUACAGGAAAGCUGUACCCUGGAGGCUCACAGAAGAGUUGAAUUUGGCCUACAAGGUUUUGGGGGGUUUUAAAAACUGAAUUAAUUGCCACAUUUAAAAAUUGGUACAUUUCACAUAAAAAUUCAAAUUUUGGAAAAUCCAAAGAUGUGGCAACAUCACCCAAAUUUUCACACGGCAACAACUGGCUGGGCGGUAGCUUCCUUCUUUAGAGGGGCACGGGCUUUCCAGUUUGUCACAAUCCUUGUCACUCCUCUUGUAUUCCCCAACUGUGAGGCUGAAAGGUGGUUUCAGUAUGUUAAUCAUCUUUCACUGUUGAUGCUCCAGCACCCACUUAACUGUAGCUAUUGAUUCUGUACCCCUUGAUCUGUGUCUACCAGGUUCAGAGUAAUAAAUAGGAUGACGUCUGCUGACGUAGUUCCUUUGAUUAUUCACUACAUGCUGGGCACUGUUCCAAGGGUUUACAUGUAGUAACUCCAUGAACCUUCAAAACAACUCAUGAAACCAAUAUUAUUAUUAUUUGAGGAUAGAGUAAGUCACUUGUACACAGCUUACUAGUGACAGAGAUGGAUUCAAACCCAGGCAUGCUGACUUCAGAACCAUCAGGGCUCAGGUUGGCUGCGUGUGUGUGUGUGUGUGUGUGUGUGUGUGUGUGUGUGUGUGUGUGUGUGUGUGUAUGUGUGUGUGCCUCUCUUUCUGGGACCACAGAGUAAGCCUCUCAGCCCUGCCAUUCUCUCCUCAUCUUGCUCCACAAGCUGGAGAGAGGAAUAGGGAAGGGCAGGGCACUCCGGAUGGGCCAAGCCAUUUUCCAGAAAGUUUCCUGUCCUGCUUCUAGGGAGGCAAAGGGCGCUCUGACUAUAGACGACAGUGUGCUGUCCUGUUGCCUAUAGUCAGCUGGCACAGUGGCCGUGAAGGAGACCCUCCUGGCAGGGGAAUUCCUGGAAGGAUGAGGACUGGAUUGACUCCCUGCCUUUCAUGGACAACCCACCGCCAUGUUCUUCUUGGUCACAGCUCACGAGCCUCCCACAUGGCCCCUUAAUACAGGGCCUUGUGCCCCGAGGCCCAGGUUGCUUUGAGGGCAGUGAGGUCCUGGAGGUAGAUCCUGAUCCAAACCCUGCUCCAUCCUCACUGCCAGGAUGAUCUUGGGCAAGUCACUUUGCCUCUUGGAGAUUUAACUUCCUCUUCUUUGGAAAGAGGAUGAGCCUUGGUUUCCAAGGGACGGGAGGGUUAAAUGAGAUGAUGCAAGAAUUUGGAGCUGACCAACUCUAGCCACGUCUGCCUCAGUCUUCCUCAUCAGAGGGCACAGCCCUCAGCCUGGUGGGCAGGAGAGCCAGGAGUCUGGAAAUCUGGGUAAUGUCCUGAGUAAUCUGGGAGGACUUGGGGCCACGACUAGACACUCCAAUCCCCUGCUGUAUGGAUGGGUACGCUCUCAGGGCAGGAUGCAAGGACUGGGAAGGUGAAGCUGGAGGAGGCCACUCACCUCACCACCCCAGGCACCUUGUCACCAGGACAGCUGUCUAACCACAGGCAGAAAGGCUGUCAGAUGCUGCACCAGGAAUGGAUGGGGCCUUCUUCCGCGGAGAUGUGCGUGCCCACAGGGAACAUUGGGAGCUGCUAUUCAGGAACGUGUUUCUCAAAUGCGGGACAAGAGCUGGGUCUGGGGACCUGGGGGUCCCUUCCACCUCUGAGAGUCUGAGAUUCCAGACUCAGGAACUGCUCAAGUGCCAACGGUGGCUCCUAAGGCUUUGUCACAACAAGUCCUUCCCUCCUGGUGCCUCCCGACCACCGUGUCCCCUGAGCUCAGAACCAAGUCCUUCCUUUACAUUCUCUUCCUCAGAAAUCUCCUGUUGCAUGUGGUCAGUUCCAAAUCCUUAGCUGUUAGCUGCCCAGCUCUGCCCCAUCCUCAAAGCCUUAGCUCUUUCUCUCCAUCUGCCGAACAGACCCGUCCACUUCGCCCUCAUCCCAGAUUCACCGGCUCCUUUUCCCUACACGAUACCAAGCCUGGGGGGUCCAUCUUCUGUACCCCUUAGCCAGUAGGUCCUCAGGCCUAUGGCACCACUGCUGAGUCCAUCCAGCUCUUCCAUCCGCCUGCCCCAGGCCACUGCAGCCCCCUGGUUCUCAUUCCUGAAUUACCACAGUGACUUUCCAGACAGCUGUCCUGCUUCCAGUGUCCUUUACUUCUCCCCACGCAUCUGGUGCCCAUGGGUCUCCCCAAAGGCACUGCAGUGUUUGCCCUCAGAAUGACUCCAUGGUCCUCAUCCUCAACAGAGAUGGUUUGUUUGUUUUUUUAAUUUUUGGAAAUUACGGAACUUUUCUAUUUUUAUAAAGUUAAAAUAACUUUGAUUAAGCUACUGAAGACCACAUAUAUCAUUGUGUAAAUAAAAUUAACUUAUAUAUUAAGUAAAUGUGUAUAUUAUAUAUAUGUGUGUAUAUUAUAUAUAUAUAAUACAAAUGAAGAGAAAUGAAAUCUUUGUAUACUGUUUUGAAACCAAAUAUUUGCAUUAAGGUAUGAUCUGAACUAACUCUAGUCGCUAAGCUUUCAGGGCCUCAGUUACCACCUCUGCAAAAUGACAUGGUCGCUCAGAUGUUCUCCAACCACAAGAGUCCGACUCUGUGAGUGACUUUUGUGUAUAUCUUGACUAUUCUGGGGAGUUUGCAUAAGUACCUGGAAAGAGUUACUUCUGGGGAGGAGAACUGAGAAUCUGAAGUAAGAGCAAGACUUAGCUUUGUAAUCUUUUGUUCUGUUUGAUGAUUUCCAAUUUAGAGGAAAAAAAAAAAAACUUUUUUUUUUUUUUUUGUGGUACGCGGGCCUCUCACUGUUGUGGCCUCUCCCGUUGCGGAGCACAGGCUCCGGACGCACAGGCCCAGCGGCCAUGGCUCACGGUCCCAGCUGCUCCGCGGCACGUGAGAUCCCCCUGGACCGGGGCACGAAUCCGCGACCCCUGCAUCGGCAGGCGGACUCCCAACCACUGCACCACCAGGGAAGCCCACAACCACUUUUUAAAUGGAAGGUUACGAGUGGAGAUUGUGAGAUUUAAAAAAAAGUUGAUUUCCUUUUCAGGUUUGUACUAAUCCGAGUCAAAUUAGGUCGAUUCAACUGAUUUCCUAUCCAUAUGUGACACAUGGACUAACCUUCUGGAGAGGUUCCCAUCAGCCCUGGGAACAAAUGCUCUACUGGGGCCUAGGGAAAGGAAAAGGAGGUUGAAGACAGAUGGAGGAGAGUAUUAUAUUGUCACACACAUUAAAGUUCUUUUAAAAAAAUCGGGAAGCUCUCAAAAGUUUGAAGCCUGAUUCCACCAUUGACAUCCCCCAAGGAACCUAUAACUGUGCCUGUGGAACAGUGAAGUUCAAACCCCCGGAGGGCCUGGCCCUAUCUGAACGCAGCCUUUCUGCCUCCCUCACAGGUAAUCCCCACCCUCCCACAUACCAAGGGCUCCACCCCACCCAUCCCCUGACAGAGUAAGGGCUGUCCUGCUUCUGGGCCUUUCACCAAACCCUGACUCCCUCCCUCUGCUCUAAAGCACUUCCCCUCCUCCUGUCCACGUAGCUGAGUCUGGUCUGUCUGCAGGGUCCUGAUCAAAUACCAGCCAACUUAAAUCUAGGCCCUGAUAGUAGCUCACAUUGAGUAAGCAUUUUACAACUUAUACUUUCAUUCACAUGAAGGCAUUUGUUUCUACCUUUGAGAGGCAAGUAUUAUCAUCCUCUUUUUACUCACAAGGGAAUGGGACUUCAAACAAGUCAGAUAACAUGUUCUAGGCCACAGAUCAACUGUGAAGUCUUGGAUUUCCCAGCUUUAAGACUGGGGCUUCUCUCCUUCGAAAUCCAGCUAAAUCCUACCCCUUCCUUCCCUGACUACAGUGUCUCCUAGAUAACUGUCCUCACCUUUGUCUGGGGGUCUGACCUCAGGGAUUCCUAAGUUCUACUUAACACCUUUGCCACAUCUGGGUACCCACUGUACUAUUAUUUAUUUGAUAUGUUUCCUUCAAUUUGACUCAUUUUUCUUUUUCUUUUUUUGGCCACAGUGAGCAGCAUGCGGGAUCUUAGCUCCCUGACCAGCGCUCAAACCCAGGCCCCCUGCCGUGGAAGCACAGAGUCCUAACCACUGGACCACCAGGGAAUUCCCUGACUGACGCCUUCUGACUGCUGAGAGGUUCUUGUUUUGCUUUGUAGGUCUGUUUAUUUCCAAAUACAGCUUCAUAAGCAGAACUAUGAAGUCAAAGAUAUGCAGCCUUUCUCUAAGAUUUAUGUCCUCAGAUAUUAAAAUGACCCCUUUAAGUUGGUACCAUAAGGGAGAUGAGGGAACCUGGCAGUUGUGUUUGUUUCUUUAUUUGUACCUUGCUUGGUUUCAACAAAGACUUGAAGCAUUGCAACAGGUGCCUGGCAUCUAGUAAGCCUCACAGCCGCUAAAACGCUGGCCAUAAUUACUGACAGUAGCAGUAGUAGGGUAUCAUGAUCAAGAUAAAAAAUAAAAUGGCAAAGGGAAAAUAAGGGGUGAAAUGAUAACAUGAAUCCAGGGUUGGUAUACAAUACAUAUGUAUAAAGCUCUGUUUAUAACUACUAAAAGUAGGUUACAGAUUUGCUGUGCUUUCUAGAGGCUGAAGCAAAUAUUGGUUACAAAACUCAUGUGAGGUUUGGGAGAAAGUUCUCCGGUGAGUCCUCAUCAAGAUGACAUUUUGAGAUGCCGAGGGCCAUGUCUUCAACCCAUCCCCUAAUUCUGGAUCCAGUCCAACACAGAGACAGAUGGCAAACACAGCUCCGACGGGGCAUGAUAAGCAGCAUGGCUGCCAUAAAUGCAGCCGGUUUUAAAGACACUAUUACAAAUCACACAUCCUGCUCAUAAUCCCAAUAGGGGGAUUAACUACAACAUACAUCUUUAGGCUUUUUUUGGGGGUUGGCAGAUUAGAUACACAGUACCUCUUCCUUGUCGUCUCCAGGGGCCAUUCACAAAGAAUGAAACAUUGGUGGCCCUAGAAAUACCCAACUGAUAAGAAGACGGUUUUGUUUCAAGCUUUAAGGGGGAUAGUAUUUGGAGGUUUUGUUUGUCUGGUUUUUCACCCUUGAGAUCUGAUCACUAGAUUUGGAAAAUACUGCCUUUUACAGGGGCAAUCAAGCUGCUCUGGCUUACAGCUGUUCUAUCUCCAGAUCAUCUGUCCAGCUUUCUUCCCCUUUCCUCAGAUGUCUAGGGCCUAUAACCUCAGAGGGCUCAGGUUUGACCUCCUUCCUUCCACUUUAACUAAUAUCUUUUUUUUUUUUUUCCAGCCACACUGUGCAGCUUGUGGGAUCUUAGUUCCUGGACCAGGGAUUGAACCCAGGCCCACGGCAGUGAAAGCCCCAAGUCCUAACCACUGGACCGCCAGGGAACUCCCACUGAUAUCUUUUGUGCCAAGCAUUUUCCAUGAGUUAUUUUAGUUUUUGCCAUAACUCUGGCACAUGGCUAUUACUGCCCCUAUUUUAUGCUGAAGAAGUGGAAGUUCAGAGAUAUAUGAAGUAGCUUGCCCAAGGUCACCCUGUUAGGUAAAAGCUGUGAUUAUUGCAGUCUGAUAGGACUCAGUGUCCUUCCUCUUCCCUACACCAUGCCAUUGUACUCACAAAUCAUCCAUUUGAUGGUCUGGUUUAGAAUUCUAGCUGAGUUAAACAUCAAGAUUCCUGGCUGUUGGUUUGUGUUACUGAUAUCUUUCCCCUCUUUUGAAAAUCAUGAUUUCAUUUGUCUGUCUGUUGUACCUCUUCUCCAAGGAGUCAGGUGGCUUAGAGCUCAUUGGCAAAUUUUCUCAAUUUCUUCGUCCAAGUCAGAUCAGACGUGACUUAGUUCAAAGCAGCAUGAUGCUUUCUUAAAAUCUCACACCUCCAAUGUCAGGUUUCAAUUUUCUCUCACCAGUGUUGGUUAUAAAACAAACCUCAGGGACUUUCCUGGUGGCACAGUGGUUAAGAAUCCGCCUGCCAAUGCAGAGGACAUAGGUUCGAUCCCUGGUCCGGGAAGAUCCUACAUGCCACAGAGCAACUAAGCCUGUGAGCCACAACUACUGAGCCUGCGUGCCACAACUACUCAAGCCUGCUCACCUAGAGCCCGUGCUCCGCAACAAGAGAAGCCACCACAAUGAGAAGCACGUGCACCGCAAUGAAGACUAGACCCCACUCGCCGCAACUAGAGAAAGCCCGCGUGCAGCAACAAAGGCCCAACGCAGCCAGAAAUAAAUAAAUAAAAUAAAUAAAUUUAUAAAAGAAAAAAACCUCGUAAUGCAAAUAAAAACAACCAUGAAACACUGUUUUUAACCUAAGAAGUUAUCAAAUAUAAAUAGUCUGAUUAUAUACUUUGUGGAGAAACAGACCUCUCAAACAUGAUUAAUAAGAGGAUACAUCUGCACUGCCUCUUUGGAGGAAGGAGAAAUUUGCUACACUGAUCAAAAUUCAAAAUGCCCACACCCUUUGACCCAACAAUUCCAUUUCUAGAUCCUACAGGCUUGGUGACACGUGCACACAAAGAUGUAUGCACAAUCAUAUGCACUGAAAUGUUGUUUUUAUAGCAAAAGACUGUGAAUAAUCUACAUGUCCACCAAUAGGGGAACUGAUUAAAUAAAUUAUGGCAUAUCCAUAUAAUGGUAUACUCAGCAGCUGUGAAAAUAAAUGAACUAGUUAUGUACAAACUGACUCGAAACAUUCUCCAAAAUACGUUGUUAUGUGAGGGCUUCUUGGUGGUGCAGUGGUUGAGAAUCCGCCUACCAGUGCAGGGGACACGGGUUUGAUCCCUGGUCCAGGAAGAUCCCGUAUGCUGCAGAGCAGCUAAGCCCAUGCGCCACAACUACUGAGCCCAUGUGCCAUAACUACUGAAGCCCACACACCUAGAGCCUGUGCUCCGCAACAAGAGAAGCCACCACAAUGAGAAGCCCACGAACCGCAACGAAGAGUAGCCCCUACUCGCCACAACCAGAGAAAAAAGCCCACGCGCAGCAACGAAGACUCAAUGCAGCCAGAAACAAUAAAUAAAUAAAAAUUUAAAAUUUAUUUUAAAAAAAUGUUGCUAUGUGAAAAAAGCCAGGGGAAAAGCAAGUAUCUACAGUGUGCUAUCAUUUUUAUGUUUUUCUAAAAGGAGAUGCUUGCAUAUGCAUAAAGUAUCUCUAGAAAGAUACAUAAGAAAUUGGUAACAUGCUCACCUCAGCAGGUGUUGAUAGGGGAUGGGGCAGCCAGAGGCAGGAGGUUGGCUGGCCUUGCACUUUUAUCUUUUCAUACCAUUUGAAUUUUUUUUUCAAACUAUGAAAAGAAGUGAGGGCUUCCCUGGUGGCGCAGUGGUUGAGAGUCUGCCUGCCGAUACAGGGGACGCGGGUUCGUGUCCCAGUCCGGGAAGAUCCCACAUGUCACGGAGCAGCUGGGCCUGUGAGCCAUGGCCGCUGAGCCUGCGCGUCUGGAGCCUGUGCUCCGCAACGGGAGAGGCCACAA